ACGACUAAACUAAGAAAUGGCACUUGGAUUAAAGGCUUAUGUUGAUUUCCUAGUGUCCUUUGGGUAGAGUCAUAAGCAUUGCAUUUACCACGAGUUACGUAAAUGUUUAAUAAUAGGAAUUAUACUAUUAUGUAUUAAUGACAUAAGCUCUAAAGCUGGAAUCAAUGGUUAAGUGCUAAUACCUCGAGAAAAAAUAAAUCAGAGAGGUGGAAUGCACGAAAACCAUCAUUUAGAAGCUUUAUGAACUUAGAAGUUGAAAGAAAUCUAUUUAACUUGAUUUUUGAUUUUUGUGCAUAAGCAUGGGUGCAUAAAAAAUGCCUCCUUGAGGCUUGCCUUGAUCUCAAAGGUGAACACUUUCGAGAAUUCACCCCAACUUGACUAUCUCUCUCCAAAAAGUUGCCUUACAGAUGCCUUCUGUUGUCACUGUAAGUCUGUAAAGAAUAAUUUUGCACGUGGCAUACACAUUUUAGUCGUACAGAUAGAAUUUUUGGAAGUUAAUCAGUCACCAUGACCGUUUGCAAUUUUAUCAUUUGCAAUGAUCUACAUUUGGAAGUAUUUUGUGGUGCCUUUUGGGAAUUUAUCUUGACAGAUCACUUUUAUACCUUUUUGCCUCACCUAAGCAAAAUCCAUUGAAAAUACUCGAGUGUAGACUUUGUGAUAACAUAGGUCUUUUAUGUAAAAAUCAGAUAUCUGACCAUGUGAUGCAUCAAUGACAUAGACUACAGUCCAAAGAAACAGUUGUCAGAUUUUCUUCACUGCUCUUAGUAAAAGGUUGAUUCAUUUUUUCUCAAAACCUAAGCUCUGGUCCACUUCUUAUUGAAAGCAUUUGCUUAAAGUUGCUCGCCUUCUACUUGAGCUUCAGAACUACAGUGGAGUGCAAAAUUUUCUUAGAAACCAUCCAAUGAAUGAGUCAAAUUUCGCAUACAUCUAUGUUAAGAUAAAUAUUGAAGGCAGUACUAUUUUCAAGCAUCUGGUUUGAAAUGAAUAAUUUACUUGCCAAAGCUUGUCAUUGUCAGGAAUGGAUUUAAGGGGUGACCUAGGCCAGCCCAAGGCCCAUUUAAUUUUUCUCCUUAACUUCAUUUUUAUGUAAUACUUUUUAAAAUAUCAGCCCAGCUUAAAUGAAAUUUAUUGCAGCCUGGCUUUGCCCCUGGUCAUGUCCUUUUGGUUUUGGACUUCAGCUGUAUGCUACUAGGUCUUUCGAGGCAUUGUUUCUUUUCUUAUGUUUAUGUUUCCAUUUUGGCAGGUUAUUAUACCAAUUGGAGACAUAGAUGAGAUGAGGAGAAGCCAGCAUGCAUUUAUCAAUCCAGCUAUUACAAUAAUUCUUCGAAUGGGUGCUGGUGGACAUGGCGUGCCUCCUUUAGGAAAUCCUGAUGGUCGUGUCAGAUAUAUGUUUGCAUCAUUCUGGAACAGAAAUAAUGC